rnacentral:lncRNA from 1 species
AUGAAUGUUCAAGUAGAAGAGUUGUGUAGGAGAGUUAAAGAGAGCUUAUUAAGAUUUACUAAAGCAUUAUCAAAAUCAAUACCACAAAUCUCUGUUUGUGCUUGCUUUCUUGAGUUAAAAGUAUUCUUUUGUUAUCAACAUAAGAUUUUGUUAAGUUCGAAUCUGAUUGACUUGUUGUCUUUGUAAUAAUUUGGUUCAAGUGUUGUAUGUCUUCAUCAAACCAUCUCUCUUUUUAAUUAUUUGGAUUGCAAAAAAAUCCGUGAAUUACUUUACCAAAUUAUACAAGUGACGUGAUAUACAACUAACUUUUUUCCUAAACAACACAAUUGUAACCAAAUUUAAUUUAAGAAAAACACCACUUCACAAUACUGAAAACAAAACCAAUCAACUUAAACAAGAAAUAUCACAUUGUAAUAAAGCAAUUCAUAGUUGUGUAUAAUAAAAAAAAAGAAAAAAACAAAUCAAAACACCACCAGAGCUCGAAUCGUCAUUGCUGAAGUUGGAGUCGUCAUCGCCGGAGCUCGAAUAAUCAUCACCGGAGCUCGAAUCAUCAUCGCCGAAACUCCUUAUGUUUUCUGGAGGAAAAGUCACAAGAAUCGUUUUCUUUUCAUUCUCUUUCUCGUUUUUUUAGGUAAAAUAAGACAUGGAGAAAAAAAUGUGGGUCCAUUUAAUCCCGCUUAACCCGUUUCGGCCCAUCCUGCAAAAGGCCCAGUCCCGCGAAGAUCCAUCCCGCGAGACCCGCAAAUUUACGGGCCUAGAAAACCUCGUCCCAAUACCGUUUUGCGACAGUCGUUUACGGGCCAGGUACGCG